rnacentral:lncRNA from 1 species
UGUAGAAAAUCUCAGGCGAUUAAAAAAAAUUUUUUUUGUAAGGACAGAGUCUCGUUAUCGGGCUGGUCUCGAACUCCUAGCCUCAAGCAACCCUUCCGCCUUGGCCUCCCAGAGUGCUGGGAUUACAAGCGGGAACCACUACGUCCAGCUACUCAGGCCAUUUUUGCAUCAAUUACCAGCGAAAGUCUAUUCAGAAAUAGGAUUCUCUCAGGCCAGGAGUCAAGACCAGCUUUGGCGCUGUGUCAGCAGUACGAUCGAUCGGCCAGAAGCACUCCAGCCCCAACGCAGAGCCUGAGCUUAACCCGCGCUAGCGAACAGUUUGGCCCCGUUUGUAAAAGGCCGCGGCAGGCGAAGAGAGAAGAGGUGAGGGCGGUCGUCAGCGAAGGGCCCCGCAGCCCGCUGGGGGGCGCAGGGCAGACUGUCAAGAUCUCCACUUAGGGCAGUGGGAAUCUUAUUUGCGGAACACUGGGCAGAAGCUUUGCCAUUGGCUGGUGAAGAAGGAGGAGGCAGAAUGUCUGCAUUGUUACACCAUACAGUUCAAACUUCAGAAGACUUUGGAAUCAGCAGUUAUCAUUAGUCUGCAGAUGAUCAUGUUUUCACCUGAUCAUUAGAAACUAAUGAAACACCUUUUAGGUCUUAUGAAUUCAGGUUACCCUGUUUUCCAGAUGCCUUGGCAGCUGGUACAGGUAGGAUUGGGCUGGGUUUUGUGGGGAAUGAUGAAAGGGAAAAAACUCAUGUUUCAUGUUUCCUAGUUCUUGCUGAAGUUAAACAUCUGGGCAUGUAAAGAUUAGGUUAACUAACCUCUGCUAUUAUAUAGAAUAGAGUUAAACCUGGAGAAAUGCUUUGAUUAUUACAUUAGGAUUUUUAAAACUAGAUAUGAAAGGCAGUUCCCUCCACUUCUGUUUGUGGGUUUAAAUUUAUGUUGUUUUGUGGUACAGUUUAAAAAUAGUGGAUAGUGCUGGGUGCAGUGGCUCACGCCUGUAAUCCCAGCACUUUGGAAGGCUAAGGCGAGCAGAUCACCUGAGGUCAGGAGUUCGAGACCAGCCUGACCAACAUGAAGAAACCCUGUCUCUACUAAAAAUAAAAAAUUAGCAGGGCGUGGUGGCGCAUGCCUGUAAUCCCAGCUACUUGGGAGGCUGAGGCAGGAGAAUCACUUGAACCCAGGAGGUAGAGGUUACAAUGAGCUGAGAUUGCACCAUUGCACUCCUGCCUGGGCAACAAGUGCGAAACUCUGUCUCAAAAAAAAAAAUAGUGGAUAGCUUUUUUAUAUUUUGCUUUCUGUACUAAAUAUUAUAAGUGAUAUUAACUUUGUGUGUGUGAGGUUAUACUCAUGCUGUUGGGUAUAUUAUC